rfam:Glycine soja cultivar W05 scaffold1277_80, whole genome shotgun sequence.
UUCUUAUUGAAUGAUGACGGUCAUGUGUUAUGUUAUAAUUGAAUAUAAAUUCCAUGAAAAAUAAAAUAUAUGAUUAUUUUUAUUAACCAAUCAGAACAUGAUACAUGAUCGUCAUCAUCU